rfam:Salmo salar isolate Sally breed double haploid chromosome ssa01, whole genome shotgun sequence.
UGCAUUCACUUCUGUAAGUCACUCUGGAUAAGAGUGUCUGCUAAAUGACUAAAA